AUUGAACGCUGGCGGCAUGCUUUACACAUGCAAGUCGAACGGUAACAGGGAGCUUGCUCCGCUGACGAGUGGCGAACGGGUGAGUAAUGCAUCGGAACGUACCCAGUCGUGGGGGAUAACGUAGCGAAAGUUACGCUAAUACCGCAUACGUCCUGAGGGAGAAAGCGGGGGACCGUAAGGCCUCGCGCGAUUGGAGCGGCCGAUGUCGGAUUAGCUAGUUGGUGGGGUAAAGGCCUACCAAGGCGACCGAUCCGUAGCGGGUCUGAGAGGACGACCAGCCACACUGGAACUGAGACACGGUCCAGACUCCUACGGGAGGCAGCAGUGGGGAAUUUUGGACAAUGGGCGCAAGCCUGAUCCAGCCAUUCCGCGUGCAGGAUGAAGGCCUUCGGGUUGUAAACUGCUUUUGUACGGAACGAAACGGUCUGCCCUAAUACGGCAGGCUAAUGACGGUACCGUAAGAAUAAGCACCGGCUAACUACGUG
rnacentral:rRNA from 1 species